CCUACUCCUAGUAACAAAACAGACCAGGCAUGGAACCGAGGGCUUGUGGGUGUGGCUCAGUGGCAGGGUGUUUGCCCAGCAGAACACGUGAGUGGAAUCAGUUACUAUAGCAGAUGAGUUUUUUGCGAAGCUUAGCGUACACACUCUAGCUCCUAUCUGCUCUUAAAAAAGCCUCGUCCAGAACUGCUUUCUGCUUCCCGGACACACCCUCUGCAGGGUUCCCUAGUCUCCCGGCUGGACAUCAGUCUCUGUACCUAAAGGCGGGCUUGGAGGGAGGAUAGGCACGGGGAGGAGAGAGGAAAAUAGAAAUAAGUCAAUUCGUCCUUAACUGGAGCCCUUCACGGGCCUCACCCUGCGGUGGGGGCCGAGAUUGGAGAGGAAGUGGGGAGGCUCCAAUCGGUCCUUCACUCCCGCGCCCUCAUGCCCCCACCCUCCUCGGCUCGGGGCUCCGGCGCGCCGGGUCCCCGCCCGUCGCCUCCGGAGGGGAGCGGCCGGCACCAGCGCGCUCCGGAGCAACAGUGGAGAUCCACCGGCGGCUCGAGCCCACCAGACAGGUCCACGGCGCCCUGAGCCUGCAGCGAGCCGCCCAGCCCCGAGCCAGGCCCCAGGGCAACCCCGGAGACCGCGGUGGCCGGAUGCGCGGGCGCGUCACUUCCGGGCGGUGCAGCGGCGGCGGCUUGGAAGAUGGCUGCGCCCUGUGGCUCGGAGCUGCCCGCCAACUCGCCGCUAAAAAUCCCUAAGAUGGAGGUGCUCUCCCCAGCUUCUCCCGGCGACCUGAGCGACGGGAACCCAUCCCUGUCCGACCCUUCCACGCCGCGAGGAGCCUCCCCUCUCGGGCCGGGCAGCGCGGCGGGCUCGGGGACCGCGGCGUCCGGGGGUCUCGGGCUGGGGCUGGGGGGCCGCAGCGCUGCCUCGUCCUCGGUCUCCUUCUCGCCCGGCGGUGGCGGCGGCGGCGGUGGCGGUGGCGGGGCCGCGGCGGCCGCUGCCGCCGCCUGCCGGGGCAUGUCGUGGACGCCGGCAGAGACUAACGCGCUCAUCGCUGUGUGGGGCAACGAGCGGCUGGUGGAGGCGCGGUACCAGCAGCUGGAGGGAGCCGGCACGGUAUUCGGCAGCAAGGCCCCCGGGCCGGCCAUGUACGAGCGCGUGUCCCGGGCCCUGGCCGAGCUGGGCUACGAACGGACCCCGUCCCAGUGCCGGGAGCGCAUCAAGGGAAUAUCUAGUUGGAAUGCUUCAUUGUCCAGUUAUGAGAAGGAAAUCUAAAGCAAAGAAAGGAGAUUGAGCCUCUGAAGAAUUUAGAGGAUCAGUUUACCUGUUUUCAGACAGCUGGUUCGAUGCCCAGAACUGAACGCUGUGCUCCAGCUGUGGCCUCACCGGUGCUGAAUAGAGAGGAAGAGCCACCUUCAUAGCUUACAUGUGAUUCCUCUGCUUAUACAACCCAAUGCUGGAUUUACUUACUUUGGCAAGAUAGCUGCAUUGUGCACUGUAUUUAAUGUUACGUGUACUGUAACCCUGGGUCUUUCUCUGCAUUGCUGCCGUCAACCCCAACCCUGCCAAUCUAAAACUCCUGCCUCUGUUUACCUGCCCUCCUCCUCGUAGACUCCCCGUGCAUUCAUCCACAAUGAAUGUCAUCUUUUUAUUCUCCAGUUUCCUUUUACUUUAUCUUAAGCUCUGGCAAGACUUUCACUCUGUCCUAUAAAUUGUUGCUGUCAGCCAGCUUUUCACCCUGCUUCGGUAGUGGAGCACCCCUCAAGCCUUUUCUCUGGUCCUUGUCCGUUCGUAGUCCUGAAACCAAGCAUUUGCUAAGGUGGAUUGAUAAGCAUUCACCUGGAGUUUCUGAAUCAGGUACUGGGAACAGCUCUGGUUUGGCCCCCUGAAGUUGUUACCCUGCUUAGUUCUGUCUAGAUUUCCUUACCUCCUCAUGACCUCUGUCUGGGUGGAUAGUAUAGUCUUACAGCCCCUCCACCAGAGAGAAGAUGAAAACAUGCAGUCAACUUACCAGAGAGAUUUCUCACAGUAAGGAAGUUAACUAUUGUCUUUUAGUAGAAUAGCCUUUAUUAGUUUUAAGUUUUUCUAAUUAGAAAUUAAAUUGAGGUAAAUGAAGAAAGUGAAGGAAGAUUUUUUUUAAAUGUUGAAGUAGGCCGUGGUUCACCAAGAAAGCCAAAUGGUGUGUCUUGUUGGAUUGGUGGCUGACUCAAAUGGGAGCUGCAGCCUCAUUUUCCUGGACUCUAGAGCAUCAUGAUGCCUGAUUUAGAGAACGUUUUUAGUUGGUUUAUUUAGGAUUGUUGAUACAGCCGCCCAGUCUUUUAAUUAUAUGCUUUGAUUAAGCAUUUAGAGGAUAAUGUAUUGUAUAAUCUUUUCUGUGGGUGGUAAGAAUUGGAAGAUCUCCAAAUGUCCUUUUUAUCUAUGUCUAAGCCCUCAAGUGAAUCCCAGUGGGUCUUAGGGUAGCAGUUAAGCCGAUGUUUGAGUCAGCCCCUCACCCCCACCAUCUUAGUGGAUGUGCUCUGUUUAAGCAGACUGUUCUUGAGUUUGGGGUAUUUAUUAGACCUACAAGGUACUGUUUACAUGUAUUUGUAUUUUGAAGGAGAGGAAGUUGAUUUGGAAAUUUUUUUAAUGUCAUUUCAGUAUAUCAGAUUAUUAUGGUUUUAGACAUUACCAAACACCUGGUAGAUAUCAGCACACUGUAAACAUGUGUUACAGGUGUAUACUGCAACUAAGAGGUGUGUAGAGCUGUCAGAGAUGGCUGAUUUCAGUAUUCACAAUUACACAACCAAAGGAAAUGAUAAGCUCAACUUGGUGGGCUUUGAAGAAUGUCGUUUCUCUGGUUCCUCCCCAUGUAUAUUAUCACAAUUUGCUAAAUUUAUUUUUGAUCAAGAGAAUAAAUGCUUGCAAAUAUAGGAAGGAAUGGGUAGACUUGCUUGUGCCCAUGUCACCUCCUCACAAGUGUGGCAUCUUCUCACAAGUGUGGCACCUUUCUUGAAAGGAAACGUUAGCUUUGUUCCUUGGCUUCUGGAGUAACCCAGUGACAGCCAGUCAACUGGACUUUGGUGUUCCAAAUGCUGUUCUGUAGGCAGCCAGUAAGCAGUGAGAAGGGUCGGCUUUCCAUCUCCAUUUAUGGUCUCAGAAGGGGAAAGGGACAGGACUGGGACUCUAUUUACAGUCCUUAGGAAUCAAGUGGAGUGGUUGGGGUGUUCUUGGAGGCAGAAACUAGACAUUGUAAGAUAAAAAUAAAUUGUCAGGGGUUGUUUGUGAUUCAAAUUCCAAUCUCUGAGGAGGCAGAGGGUGCUGGGAAAGGGGAGUAUAUGCAGGGUCAAGUGAGAUUUGCAGCGCUUCUCUCCGUUGGGAGAUUUGACCAUGACACACAUUUUCCAAGUUUAUGUUUCUGGAUUGUUCUAGAAAGUUUUGUCCUAUGGGGUCAUGAUUCUCUGUUGCAAAAAGAAAGCUGAGAGGAUUUUUAAAGGGUUUAUGGGAAGCCUCGGUUCUGUAAGGUAUUAUCAUUUGAGGUGGUGGGAGAGAUGCUGUGAAAGUGAGAUGCUUGUUUGGGGGUUCAAGGCUCCAGGGAGGGUGACUAUGUCUGAGGGAGAUGAUCAUGUCUCAUGCUUUUAUUAUUCUUUUUGCCUGUUUGGAUUUCUGGCCUCAAGGAACAGAGUUAAAGAGUCUUUGAGGGAGUGUCUGCAGAUUGUCAGCUGUGGUUUAAAGGUACUCCACUCAUGGAGAGCCCUAAAGACUCAGACCUGUUUUCGUUUGGUGAGAUAGAUCAUGUAUUAGCUUAUGGAAGGCAACUUCUCCUUUAGGAGAAUCUUACAGACUUGAUAAUAUCUAGUUAUCGAUAAACUAGUUUUAACAGUUAAGUUAGAAAAUAUUUAGGAGCCACCAUGGAAAGGGGAUUUUGUCUCUCAAGAAAAUUCUGAGUGGAACCCCAUAAAGUAGAAGAGUCAUUAGAAGGAGGGAAGGGCGGCAGAGUCAGUAGAGCCUGAAUUGAUUUAUCUUUUGAUGGGUCAAGUAAGAGCAUAAGGUGUGUACCAUUAAAUAUGGGAAACUGGGCUAGUCUGAAAUAUGUAAUAGAAACAAGACCACAAAAAAACGAGAGUGAACAGGCAGCAAUGUUCCCCAGUUUUUGUCCUUGAACUUGCAUGAUGGUAUUUAUUUGUUGUGUGUCAAGCGACAGAAAGAGUGAGGUAACUCCCCUCACCUCCGAAGAGAGACUGUUUGGCCUUGUUUGUUGGUUUGUUUAGCUGGCAGUUUCAGUUGGUAGACUAGUAAAAUGUAGGAAUUAAUGUACUACUUCUUGGUCAUUGUGUUUGAGACUGGAGACUUAGGACAUUAUUGAUUUGAUUUCUGCUUAAAUUGUAGAAGUUUUUACCAUGACAGAGUGAGUUAGUGAGGACCACAGACGCUGUAGAGACCUGUUUUGUUAGCUACGUUGUCUAGGCAACUGUUUUCCCCUGUACUCCUUAACCAAGGGUAAGGAAGGUGUUCUUCACUUGGGGAAUUCUUCUUUCUGUCCUCUUUCCCUCACGUCUUCCAAAUUCUGGGCACCACAGCUCUCUCCUGGGGCAGGUGUGCAUCCUAUUGGCUGGCUGGUAUUUCUUUUUUUUCUCCCCCUUACCCUUUUUAAAUGGGGGAGGGGGCAUAAAAUAUGUGUAUGGGUACAUGCAAUAAUGUUGUAAUGUUUCUUGUUGUUUUAAUUGAUAAUUGCAAAAUAAUUGU